rnacentral:rRNA from 1 species
GACGAACGCUGGCGGCGUGCUUAACACAUGCAAGUCGAGCGGUAAGGCCCUUUCGGGGGUACACGAGCGGCGAACGGGUGAGUAACACGUGGGUGACCUGCCCUCAGCUCUGGGAUAAGCCUGGGAAACCGGGUCUAAUACUGGAUAUGACUCCAUGACGCAUGUUGUGGGGUGGAAAGCCUUGUGCGGCUGAGGAUGGGCCCGCGGCCUAUCAGCUUGGUUGGUGGGGUGANGGCCUACCAAGGCGACGACGGGUAGCCGGCCUGAGAGGGCGACCGGCCAC